rnacentral:rRNA from 1 species
UUUAACUGAAGAGUUUGAUCAUGGCUCAGAUUGAACGCUGGCGGCAGGCUUAACACAUGCAAGUCGAGCGGGGGAAGGUAGCUUGCUACUGGACCUAGCGGCGGACGGGUGAGUAAUGCUUAGGAAUCUGCCUAUUAGUGGGGGACAACAUCUCGAAAGGGAUGCUAAUACCGCAUACGUCCUACGGGAGAAAGCAGGGGAUCUUCGGACCUUGCGCUAAUAGAUGAGCCUAAGUCGGAUUAGCUAGUUGGUGGGGUAAAGGCCUACCAAGGCGACGAUCUGUAGCGGGUCUGAGAGGAUGAUCCGCCACACUGGGACUGAGACACGGCCCAGACUCCUACGGGAGGCAGCAGCGGGGAAUAUUGGACAAUGGGGGGUACCCUGAUCCAGCCAUGCCGCGUGUGUGAAGAAGGCCUUAUGGUUGUAAAGCACUGUAAGCGAGG